UACGAAGGGGGCUAGCGUUGCUCGGAAUCACUGGGCGUAAAGCGCACGUAGGCGGCUUUCUAAGUCAGGGGUGAAAUCCUGGAGCUCAACUCCAGAACUGCCUUUGAUACUGGAGAGCUAGAGUCCGGAAGAGGUGAGUGGAACUGCGAGUGUAGAGGUGAAAUUCGUAGAUAUUCGCAAGAACACCAGUGGCGAAGGCGGCUCACUGGACAAGUAUUGACGCUGAGGUGCGAAAGCGUGGGGAGCAAACAGG
rnacentral:rRNA from 1 species